rnacentral:rRNA from 1 species
UACGAAGGGGGCUAGCGUUGCUCGGAUUGACUGGGCGUAAAGGGCGCGUAGGCGGUUCGUACAGUCAGACGUGAAAUUCCUGGGCUCAACCUGGGGGGCUGCGUUUGAUACGUGCGGGCUUGAGUUCGGAAGAGGGUCGUGGAAUUCCCAGUGUAGAGGUGAAAUUCGUAGAUAUUGGGAAGAACACCGGUGGCGAAGGCGGCGACCUGGUCCGAUACUAACGCUGAGGCGCGAAAGCGUGGGGAGCAAACAGG